UGCAGUCUCAGUACGAGCUGACUUAAAGUGAAACCGCAAAAGGCUCAGUAAACCGGUCAUAGUUUACCGGAUAUAUGCCACUCACGUGGAUAACUGUGGUAAUUCUAGAGCUAAUACAUGCAACCAAGUCCCGACCAGCGAUGGAAAGGACGCUUUUAUUGGAUCAAAACCAUUCGCCCGGCUCGCCCGGGCGUCUGCUUGAUGACUCUAGAUAACACCACAGAUCGCACGGUCACAGUACCGGCGACGUAUCCGUCAAAUGUCUGACUUAUCAGCUGUCGAUGGUAGACUCUGUGUCUACCAUGGCGCUCACGGGUAACGGGGAAUCAGGGUUCGAUUCCGGAGAGGGAGCCUGAGAAACGGCUACCACAUCCAAGGAAGGCAGCAGGCACGCAAAUUACCCACUCCCGGCACGGGGAGGUAGUGACAAAAAAUAACGAUACGGGACUCAUCCGAGGCCCCGUAAUCGGAAUGAGAACACCCUAAAUCCUUUAACGAGGAUCUAUUGGAGGGCAAGUCUGGUGCCAGCAGCCGCGGUAAUUCCAGCUCCAAUAGCGUAUAUUAAAGUUGUUGCGGUUAAAAAGCUCGUAGUUGGUUCUGCGUGCCACGCUGUCGGUUCACCGCCUGUCGGUGCAACUGGCAUGCCGUGGCAUGUCCUGUCGGUGGCUGACGGGCUUCGCGGCGCGCCCUGCUCGCUCACGCGUGUAGGUCGACGCGCCGUGUCGUCCUCGUUGGCCGGCUCAAUCCUACCGCGGUGCUCUUAAACGAGUGUCGAGGUAGGCCGACACUGUUUACUUUGAACAAAUUAGAGUGCUUCAAGCAGGCUCUGAAAGCAGCCUGAAUAGUGGUGCAUGGAAUAAUGGAACAGGACCUUGGUUCUAUUUUGUUGGUUUCCGGAAUCCAAGGUAAUGAUCAAUAAGGACAGGCGGGGGCAUUCGUAUUGCGACGUUAGAGGUGAAAUUCUUGGAUCGUCGCAAGACGCACUAGAGCGAAAGCAUUUGCCAAGUAUGUU
rnacentral:rRNA from 1 species